UACGUAGGAGGCAAGCGUUGUCCGGAAUCACUGGGCGUAAAGCGCGUGUAGGCGGACCGCUAAGUCUGUGGUGAAAGCGCCUGGCUUAACCGGGCGAGGUCCAUGGAAACUAGCGGUCUGGAGGCCGGUAGAGGGGGGUGGAAUUCCGGGUGUAGUGGUGAAAUGCGUAGAGAUCCGGAGGAACACCAGUGGCGAAGGCGGCCCCCUGGGCCGCGCCUGACGCUGAGACGCGAAAGCGCGGGGAGCGAACGGG
rnacentral:rRNA from 1 species